rnacentral:rRNA from 1 species
CGUCUAUAUACGUAUAGCAUAUCAAUAAGCGGAGGAAAAGAAACUAACUAAGGAUUCCCUCAGUAACGGCGAGUGAAGCGGGAAGAGCUCAAAUUUGAAAUCUUCAAGGUUCUACCUUGACGAAUUGUAGUUUAGAGAAGUGUUUUCUGUUGAAGUUUCGGUAAAAGUUCUUUGGAAUAGGACAUCAUAGAGUGUGAGAAUCCCGUAUUUGACCAGUUAUUUCAGCUGUGUGAUACACUUUCAAAGAGUCGGAUUGUUUGGGAAUGCAGUCCAAAAUGGGUGGUAAAUUUCAUCUAAAGCUAAAUAUUGGCGAGAGACCGAUAGCGAACAAGUACCGUGAGGGAAAGAUGAAAAGAACUUUGAAAAGAGAGUUAAACAGUACGUGAAAUUGUCAAAAGGGAAGCGUUUGACACCAGUGUUGUUUUCUCGAAAAUCAAUUAACGAAUGGCUGGAUUCUGUGUUGUAUUGACCUUAUCAGCUUUCUGCACUUUUUCUAGUCUUUCUUGAUGCACUUUUCGUUAACAAGUCAACAUCAAUUUCUUUUGUUGUAAAAGGAGUAUUCGGAAGGUGGCUUUCUUUUCGGAGAAAGUGUUUAUAGCCUAUAGCUUCUAGCAAUCGGAGAGAUUGAGGUCUGCAGCGUAGAUCCUUCGGGGUUAGAUACACUUGUGCUAAGUUAUAGCUUUGUCAUAGACAACUUGUUGACUAUAUUUAGUCAUGCGGCUUACUCGCUUGUGCUAUUUUACCUACGCUUAGGAUGUUGACUGAUAUGUAGUCGUA